rnacentral:lncRNA from 1 species
GAGAAGAAAGAUUUAUAUUGGUGGAAAUACAGAGAAAUCAAGAGUAAACUUCUUGAUUUUCCCCAACCAGGUAACACAGGAUGCACUUUUCACUCUAACAGUGAACCACAGGAACAUAAUGUGAAAUGUCCCUCUCAAGGGAAACCCACUUGAGUAUCAUGUCUGAGCAUUGACAGAAAGCUGAUCAUGUAGCCAUUUUACCUGCACGGACAACCACAGGGAAUGAAACUCAGGACUCCAGCAGUGACAUCAGAACACUUAAGCUGCUCCAUCAUCACUAGUGCCAUUAUCCAGCUGAUAACAACAGACUGAUACAACACCAUUUCCUAAUAAAGAUCAGGAAAGGAAUGAGUCUUAGCAUGAAGCCAAUGCUGUGGGUGGCAGAAUGAAAUGAUCGCAAGAACUGGAAUCCCUAACCAUGUUGCUUAGCUGUAACAUUGACCAGCUGUAGAGCCAGU